GACGAACGCUGGCGGCGUGCUUAACACAUGCAAGUCGAACGGAAAGGCCCUGCUUUUGUGGGGUGCUCGAGUGGCGAACGGGUGACUAACACGUGAGUAACCUGCCCUUGACUUUGGGAUAACUUCAGGAAACUGGGGCUAAUACCGGAUAGGAGCUCCUGCUGCAUGGUGGGGGUUGGAAAGUUUCGGCGGUUGGGGAUGGACUCGCGGCUUAUCAGCUUGUUGGUGGGGUAGUGGCUUACCAAGGCUUUGACGGGUAGCCGGCCUGAGAGGGUGACCGGCCACAUUGGGAUUGAGAUACGGCCCAGACUCCUACGGGAGGCAGCAGUGGGGAAUAUUGCACAAUGGGCGGAAGCCUGAUGCAGCAACGCCGCGUGCGGGAUGACGGCCUUCGGGUUGUAAACCGCUUUCGCCUGUGACGAAGCGUGAGUGACGGUAAUGGGUAAAGAAGCACCGGCUAACUACGUG
rnacentral:rRNA from 1 species